AUUGAACGCUGGCGGCAGGCCUAACACAUGCAAGUCGAACGAGUGGCGGACGGGUGAGUAAUGUCUGGGAAACUGCCUGAUGGAGGGGGAUAACUACUGGAAACGGUAGCUAAUACCGCAUACCAUCAGAUGUGCCCAGAUGGGAUUAGCUAGUUGGUGGGGUAACGGCUCACCAAGGCGACGAUCCCUAGCUGGUCUGCGAGGAUGACCAGCCAAACUGGAAAUGAUACACGGUCCAGAAUCCUACGGGAGGGAGCAGUGGGGAAUAUUGCACAAUGGGCGCAAGCUUGGUGCAGCAAUGCCGCGUGUAUGAAGAAGGCCUUCGGGUUGUAAAGUACUUUCAGCGGGGAGGCGUUACCCGCAGAAUAAGCACCGGCUAACUCCGUGACAGCGGCCGCGGUAAUUC
rnacentral:rRNA from 1 species